CCUACGGGAGGCAGCAGUGGGGAAUAUUGCGCAAUGGGCGAAAGCCUGACGCAGCGACGCCGCGUGAGGGAUGAAGGUCUUCGGAUCGUAAACCUCUGUCAGCAGGGAAGAACGGUCACUGUGCUAAUCAGCAGUGAAUUGACGGUACCUGCAAAGGAAGCACCGGCUAACUCCGUGCCAGCAGCCGCGGUAAUACGGAGGGUGCGAGCGUUAAUCGGAAUUUCUGGGCGUAAAGCGCUCGUAGGCGGUAUGUCAAGUCAAGGGUGAAAUCCCCGCGCGCAACGUGGGAACUGCCUUUGAAACUGGCAAACUGGAGUGUGUGAGAGGAUAGUGGAAUGCCAGGUGUAGGAGUGAAAUCCGUAGAUAUCGGGAGGAACAUCAGUGGCGAAGGCGACUAUCUGGCACAUAACUGACGCUGAGGAGCGAAAGCGUGGGUAGCAAACAGGAUUAGAUACCCCAGUAGUC
rnacentral:rRNA from 1 species